GACAGAGGGGGCAAGCGUUGCUCGGAAUCACUGGGCGUAAAGGGCGCGUAGGCGGGAUGGCAAGUCAGUCGUGAAAUCUCUCGGCUCAACCGAGAAACGUCGGCUGAUACUGCCGUUCUUGAGGGAUGCAGAGGAGACUGGAAUUCCCGGUGUAGCGGUGAAAUGCGCAGAUAUCAGGAAGAACACCGGUGGCGAAGGCGGCUUUCUGGACAGAUACCGACGCUGAGGCACGAAAGCUAGGGGAGCAAACAGG
rnacentral:rRNA from 1 species